AAAUGAGUUAGUCUCCGAGCUUAUGAUCCUAAGGAUAUUUCUACGGAUUAUGAGCCUGGACUAUGAGUCCACAGGGUACUUUAGGAAACAAAAGUGCCUCCACGUUUUUAGGAAAGGAGAUGGGUUAAAAUUGUA
rnacentral:ncRNA from 2 species